GCAUCAUCGCCACCCCACCACUUGCAUGGCAAUUGGAAAAUGCCACAUCGCGGUCCUCAAACAAUACUUCAAACUUGGAAACCACUGCAUCCUUCCUUCCCACUUAAUUGAGACAACGUCUCAAGGCUUCUCCCUCUCAUCCUCCCUCAGAUUCAGCUAGCACAGAGUUCAUCGAUCACCAAACACAGAAAAAGACACUACUGCUGGAUCAUGAACAGCCUGUUUCAUCUAAAAUUCUGUCUUCUUCAACAACAAAUUAAAAAGAGAGAAGAACAGAAAGGAUUCAGAUCUGUUUUGAAUCCUCUCAGACUGUUAAGUAAUUGAUCUGAUGGAAGGAGAAGGGGAAGGGAAGAAGAAGGGAUUGGCGAGAUAUUCAGCCACAGAAGAGCCUCAUGAGGACAGAGGGAAUUACUUCAGCUUGAAAACAUUAAUACUUCUUGGCUUACUGACCUUGUCUCUCUUGAUCCUUCCUCUUAUACUGCCUCCAUUGCCUCCUCCACCUUCCAUGCUGCUGCUGCUUCCUUUAGCAAUACUUGUUGUUCUGAUGUUCUUGGCUUUCAUGCACUCGGACAUAAAGGACAUGGCUCCCUCUCAUUUAAAAAAAAUGAAAGAGAAAGAGCAAGAGAGAGAGUCUUGUUUGUUGGUGCUGAUGGAAGAAACUGUUUGAGUGUUCCAGGAAACGUGUAUAUUGGUUGUGAAAGAGUGGUGAGAAUGUUCGCAUAUUGCACGCACGCUCCAAGAGGUUUCAGGGUAGGCUUUAGACUUUGAACUUGACUUCAUGAGAAAGCAGUGUUCUAAAUAUUGGCGUAACUCUUACUUCCGACUUUAGUGAAGAAUAUAUUGUUGAUGGUGGGACAUGGUUACUCGA